GUAGCCAUUGUUUCCAGAUACAAGCUAACGUGAGGAGGGUUGUAAGACUACCUCCGUACAGCGAUGUGGAAGCCCAGGGCAGAGCAUGGUGAAGUCGGAGAAAGGGGGUGAGGGCAGCCUCCAGCCGGGAAGGGGAGCUUCCCUGGUACAUAAAAUUGCAGAGGCGCCCGUGGCAGAGGACGCGGCGCGCGCAAACACGCGGAGGCGGGCGACCGGCAGAGCCUGGGACCUGGGGACUACAGGGGGACCAUGGCCGGGGCAGAGUAUAACAGCCUGGCCAGAGGGUCAUACGUGAGCAGACUGUCAUCACAGCGUCGGGAGCUGCGCGCCCCAGCGUCCUCCAGAGCCCAGCCUUGCCAGCGUCGGUUCUCAGCACUGUUCUCACGGUGUCAUCGCGCGGUGGGUGGGGAAGGAAAGCGUUCCUCCUCGUUUCAGAUUGCACUUCCUAAUUGUCAGGCUUUGAACACCUUGUUGUCUGUUCCCUGCUAUUGGGGUUUGCACUUCAUCGAAUUUGCAUCAUAAUCGCUUAUUUUCAAAUUAAGUGGUCCUUUUCUUAGUGUAUGGAAGCUUUGUAGAUUAUGUUUAUGUAGUAAUAAAAACACAUUUCUCAGC